rnacentral:sRNA from 1 species
GUGAUUCACAAACACUUAAAGACAUAAAUCACAGGUGCAAAGCCAUACCUGGGCUCAAAAACCUCCAAGAGAACUCAGCCUCAGACCCACCCAGGGGCCAGGGGCCAGGCUGUUUGCGAGACCAGCCCAGGCGGGACCCAGGCUUGCACGGGCAGGUACACGACAUUCUUGGGCAUACGCAGCCCGCCUGGCCAGAGCUGUGGGAGUCUUCAGCCCCAAGACCCAGCAGGCGUUUGAGGCCUGCCCACCAAGGAGGAGGAGUCAUUGCUACCAUCAUUAUCAUCCCCUCCCCAGCCACAGUCUGAGGAGCCCCUGUCCGCCCUCCCCCAGGGGCCUCCCCAGCCCCCCUCUCCACCUCCCUGCCCCCCGGAGAUACCUCCAAAGCCUGUACGCCUCUUCCCAGAAUUCGAUGACUCUGACUACGAUGAGGUCCCAGAGGAGGGGCCGGGGGCCCCAGCCAGAGUGAUGACCAAGAAGGUGGGGCCAGGCAUGGGACUGUCUGCCUGUCAGGGUGUUGUGGGGGUGCCCAGCUGCCUGUCAGACCCUGAGGACCACCAGACAGAGAGUGGGCAGCCAUUUCCCGGGAGGCUUCCCCUUCCCCUACCUCACUCUCUUGCCAUGCAGGGGUCAGGAGUCACGUGUAGCCACAGCGCCCUGGGCCAGGGGUCGGGGCUCUGGUGUGGCUCCCCCAGGCCCUGGCUAUAUGUGGGUGGGCAUGUGGCUUUCCCCCACCUUCUGUGUUAGGAGCUCGUGUCCUGUCCCGGAGUGUGUCUCUGUUUCACUUCUUGUGUUCCCGUGUCUGUCUGUCCUGCCUCCCUAGCUUGCAGUCUUUUUCUCUGUCCCUUUAUCUUUCUGUUUUUGUCUGUGUCCUAGGUCGGUGUCUGCCACUGGCUCUCCUGUCCCUGUGAUCUGGGUCCCUGUGUGGUCUCCGCUGGCAGGGGGAGGGGAGUGUGAGGAAACAGAACUAAAAGUGCUGGGCUGUGUAGGUCGGGGCUGUGUGGACAGAGGGGGCGUGGCAGCCCCAGGUGGGUGUGAUCUGUGGCUUGAAGGGAAGGAUGACGCUGAGUGGGUCUCGGGGGCAGGAGGAGCCCCCACCGAGCCGAGUCCCACGGGCCGUGCGCGUGGCCAGUCUGCUGAGCGAGGGAGAGGAACUGUCUGGGGACGACCAAGGGGAUGAGGAAGAGGAUGACCACGCCUAUGAGGGCAUCCCCAAUGGCGGAUGGCACAGCAGCAGCCUGAGCUUGUCCUUGCCCAGCACAAUUGCUGCGCCACACCCCAUGGACUGGCCACCUGGGGGCUCCACCCCCGUCACACCAGUCAUCAAGGCUGGCUGGCUGGACAAGAAUCCACCGCAGGGAUCUUAUAUCUAUCAGAAACGAUGGGUGAGACUGGAUGCUGAUCACCUGCGAUACUUUGACAGUAACAAGGACGCUUACUCUAAGCGCUUUAUUUCUGUGGCCUGCAUCUCCCGCGUGGCUGCCAUCGGGGACCAGAAGUUUGAAGUGAUCACAAACAACCGGACCUUUGCCUUCCGGGCAGAGAGUGAUGUGGAGCGGAAGGAGUGGAUGCAGGCCCUGCAGGAGGCCAUGGCUGAGCAGCGUGCCCGGGCCCGGCUCUCUAGCGCUUAUCUGCUGGGAGUUCCAGGCUCAGAGCAGCCUGACCGUGCUGGCAGCCUGGAGCUUCGUGGCUUCAAGAAUAAGCUGUACGUGGCCGUGGUCGGGGACAAAGUGCAGCUCUACAAGAAUCUAGAGGAGUACCACCUGGGCAUUGGCAUCACCUUCAUCGACAUGAGCGUGGGCAACGUGAAGGAAGUGGACCGGCGCAGCUUCGACCUCACCACACCCUACCGCAUCUUCAGCUUCUCUGCUGACUCAGAGCUAGAGAAGGAGCAGUGGCUGGAGGCCAUGCAGGGAGCCAUCGCCGAGGCCCUGUCUACCUCGGAGGUGGCCGAGCGCAUCUGGGCUGCAGCCCCCAACAGGUUCUGUGCUGACUGCGGGGCUCCUCAGCCUGACUGGGCCUCCAUCAACCUCUGUGUUGUCAUCUGCAAGCGCUGUGCAGGGGAGCACCGUGGCCUGGGCGCUGGCGUCUCCAAGGUGCGGAGCCUGAAGAUGGACAGGAAGGUGUGGACAGAAACACUUAUCGAGCUCUUCUUACAGCUGGGGAAUGGCGCUGGGAACCGCUUCUGGGCAGCCAACGUGCCCCCCAGUGAGGCCCUGCAGCCCAGCAGCAGCCCCAGCACCCGGCGGUGCCACCUGGAGGCCAAGUACCGUGAGGGCAAGUACCGCCGCUACCACCCGCUCUUUGGCAACCAGGAGGAGCUGGACAAGGCCCUGUGUGCUGCAGUCACCACCACAGACCUGGCUGAGACCCAGGCGCUCCUGGGCUGUGGGGCUGGGAUCAACUGCUUCUCGGGGGACCCUGAGGCCCCCACGCCCCUGGCUCUUGCAGAGCAGGCAGGGCAGACGCUGCAGAUGGAAUUCCUUCGGAACAACCGGACCACAGAGGUGCCUCGGCUGGACUCGAUGAAGCCCCUGGAAAAGCACUACUCAGUUGUCCUGCCGACCGUGAGCCACAGUGGCUUCCUCUACAAGACCGCCUCUGCCAGCAAGCUGCUACAGGAACGCCGGGCCCGGGAAGAGUUCAGCCGGCGCUGGUGUGUCCUUGGUGAUGGGGUCCUGAGCUACUUUGAGAAUGAGCGGGCAGUGACCCCCAAUGGAGAGAUUCGGGCCAGUGAGAUUGUGUGCCUGGCAGUGCCCCCUCCUGACACCCAUGGCUUUGAGCACACCUUUGAGGUGUACACGGAGGGAGAACGGCUGUACCUGUUUGGGCUGGAGAGUGCGGAGCAGGCUCAUGAGUGGGUCAAGUGUAUUGCUAAGGCAUUCGUGCCUCCCCUAGCCGAGGAUCUGCUGGCCCGGGAUUUUGAGCGGCUCGGACGCCUACCCUACAAAGCUGGCCUGAGCCUACAGCGGGCCCAGGAGGGCUGGUUCUCUCUCAGUGGCUCGGAACUCCGCGCUGUCUUCCCGGAGGGGCCCUGCGAAGAGCCGCUGCAACUACGGAAACUGCAGGAGCUUUCCAUCCAGGGGGACAGUGAGAACCAGGUGCUGGUGCUGGUGGAGCGAAGGAGGACACUGUACAUACAGGGCGAGCGGCGGCUGGACUUCAUGGGUUGGCUGGGGGCCAUCCAGAAAGCAGCUGCCAGCAUGGGGGACACGCUGUCGGAGCAGCAGCUUGGGGACUCGGAUAUCCCGGUGAUCGUGUACCGCUGUGUGGACUACAUCACGCAGUGCGGCCUGACCUCGGAGGGCAUCUACCGCAAGUGUGGGCAGACAUCGAAGACACAGCGGCUGCUGGAGAGCCUGCGGCAGGAUGCGCGCUCUGUACACCUCAAGGAGGGCGAGCAGCACGUGGAUGAUGUUUCAUCGGCGCUCAAGCGCUUCCUGCGCGACCUGCCUGAUGGGCUCUUCACUCGCGCCCAGCGCCUAGCCUGGCUGGAGGCCUCAGGUGGGCCCUGCAGCCUGUGCCCAGCCUCCUCCUCCUCCACCCAUCCAUCCGGACUCCUGCGCCCUUCCCUUGUGGCACUUGCACUAGGCUCCCCCUAACCCACAGGCUCCAGUUGCCCGCCUCUGCUUCUCAUUCCCAUCUCCACUCCAUACAGAGCCAGGGGCCCUGGAAGACUGAGAGUUCCUUACCCUGGUUGAAUGCCUGGCCUGCAUUGACUUGGAGGGCACAGGGACUGCUGUCACCCACCAUGAGAGGCAGAGCAGCCCGGGCGGGGUGGGGGGAAGAUAGUUACAGGGGGUUUCUGACUUGGUUUAUCUUUCCCACCCAGAGAUUGAGGACGAGGAGGAGAAGGUCUCCAGGUACCGAGAGCUGCUGGUGCGGCUGCCCCCUGUCAACCGGGCCACAGUGAAGGCCCUUAUCAGCCACCUGUACUGUGUUCAGUGCUUCUCAGACACGAACCAGAUGAACGUGCACAACCUGGCAAUUGUGUUUGGGCCCACGCUCUUCCAGACAGAUGGGCAGGACUACAAGGCUGGCCGUGUGGUGGAAGACCUCAUUAACCACUAUGUGGUGGUGUUUAGUGUGGAUGAGGAAGAGCUCAGGAAGCAGCGGGAGGAGAUCACUGCCAUUGUGAAGAUGCGCGUGGCUGGCACUGCCAGUGGGACCCAGCAUGCCGGUGACUUCAUCUGCACAGUGUAUCUGGAGGAGAAGAAGGCAGAGACUGAGCAGCAUAUCAAGAUCCCAGCAUCCAUGACUGCUGAGGAGCUCACCCUGGAGAUCCUGGAUCGCCGGAAUGUGGGCAUCAGGGAGAAGGACUAUUGGACCUGCUUUGAGGUCAACGAGAGGGAGGAGGCAGAGCGCCCCCUGCACUUUGCGGAGAAGGUGCUGCCCAUCCUGCACGGGCUGGGCACGGACAGCCACCUGGUGGUGAAGAAGCACCAGGCCAUGGAGGCCAUGCUGCUGUACCUGGCCAGCCGUGUCGGUGACACCAAGCAUGGCAUGAUGAAGUUCCGUGAGGACCGCAGCCUCCUGGGCCUGGGCCUGCCCUCAGGUGGCUUCCACGAUCGCUACUUCAUCCUCAACAGCAGCUGCCUGCGGCUCUACAAGGAGGUCCGGAGCCAGAGGCCGUGGAGCGGGGCCCCUGAGACCAGUCACCGGCCUGAGAAGGAGUGGCCUGUUAAGAGUCUCAAAGUCUACCUGGGAGUGAAGAAGAAACUCAGGCCACCCACCUGUUGGGGCUUCACAGUGGUGCAUGAGACAGAGAAACAUGAGAAGCAGCAGUGGUACCUCUGCUGUGACACACAGAUGGAGCUCCGGGAGUGGUUCGCUACCUUCCUGUUUGUGCAGCAUGACGGCCUGGUGUGGCCCUCAGAGCCCUCACGCGUGUCCCGGGCAGUGCCUGAGGUCCGGCUGGGCAGCGUGUCACUGAUCCCCCUUCGAGGUAGUGAAAACGAAAUGCGCCGGAGUGUGGCUGCCUUCACCGCGGACCCUCUGUCUCUCCUGCGCAACGUCUGAGCACAGGAGCCCAUCCUUGGCUCUAGGAUUCCGACGCUGGAAGCCUUCUGUUCAGACACCCCUUAUGCUCCAAGGCCUGGUGUGAGCCAGCAGGGGGUGCAUGGGAAACUGCACCCCACAACCCACAUCCUCCAUCCUGACUGCAGCAUGGGGUUCCCCGGCAGGGGUGGGAGGCAGCAGGGUCAGCCUGGGCAGGAACCUCUCCCAACUCUGUCCAGGUGUUCAGACCUCUUGGCCCAACCUGCUCAUCCCACCGGGUUCACUGUCCUUGUGGGGCUGGAGAGAUGGGCAUAAGUCAGGAACUUGGGAGGACCACCACCCUUUCAGAGGCGUGAGGCCCUGGGGCCCUGCCGGAAGGGAGCCCCCUGCUCCUCCCAACAAACUCCAGAACAGCAGAAAGUGGGUGCUCUAGAGGAGCACUCAGCUCAGGGGGAGGGAGCUCUUGGCUGAGCUUCUAUAGGACUGAGCGCUGCGCUUUGGGGACUUCAGCCUUCCUUCCAGUCUGGGCUGACUAGGGGGUCCAGACUACCUGAUGCCCCUUCCCCGAUUUGGGGACUUUUUGAUAAUAUAAAUAUAUCUGUAUAUUUUACCCU